GCUUCAUCAAUAGAGGGCAACCACAAUUCUCAAAAGCUUCACACACUCUUGAUCAAGACAGUGUGAAGCAAAACCAAUUUAUGGUGCCAACAACAAGAGCUUUAUCAAUGGAGGGCAACCACAAUUCUCAAAAGCUUCACACACUCUUGAUCAAGACAAUGUGAAGCAAAACCAAUUUAUGGUGCCAACAAGAGCUUCAUCAAAGGAGUUCAACCAC
rnacentral:lncRNA from 1 species